rnacentral:rRNA from 1 species
CAGUCGCCGCGGGAAUACGAAGGGGGCUAGCGUUGCUCGGAAUGACUGGGCGUAAAGGGCGCGUAGGCGGUUCACACAGUCAGGCGUGAAAUUCCUGGGCUCAACCUGGGGGCUGCGUUUGAUACGUGUGGACUAGAGUGGGGAAGAGGGUCGUGGAAUUCCCAGUGUAGAGGUGAAAUUCGUAGAUAUUGGGAAGAACACCGGUGGCGAAGGCGGCGACCUGGUCCUUGACUGACGCUGAGGCGCGAAAGCGUGGGGAGCAAACAGGAUUAGAUACCCGGGUAGUCCCUGUCUCUUAUAA